rnacentral:rRNA from 1 species
UUAGGAAUCUUGGGCAAUGGGGGCAACCCUGACCCAGCCAUGCCGCGUGUGUGAAGAAGGCCUUCGGGUUGUAAAGCACUUUCAGAGGUGAAGAAAGGCCUGAGGUGAAUACCCUCGGGUGUUGACGUUAGCCUUAGAAGAAGCACCGGCUAACUCCGUGCCAGCAGCCGCGGUAAUACGGAGGGUGCGAACGUUAAUCGGAAUUACUGGGCGUAAAGCGCACGUAGGCGGUUCGUUAAGUGGGAUGUGAAAUCCCCGGGCUCAACCUGGGAACUGCAUUUCAGACUGGCGAACUCGAGUCUGGUAGAGGGGGGUGGAAUUUCCUGUGUAGCGGUGAAAUGCGUAGAUAUAGGAAGGAACAUCAGUGGCGAAGGCGGCCCCCUGGACUAAGACUGACGCUGAGGUGCGAAAGCGUGGGGAGCAAACAGG